GCAGAGUAGAUCAAUGAGCGUAUAAGUGCCGGGCAGACGGGGAGUUGCUGCACGGACGAAAAAUGCAUAUGCAUUUGCGGUUCAUCUGAUCGCAUCCCGCUG
rnacentral:ncRNA from 1 species